rnacentral:lncRNA from 1 species
CAAAAUUGUUGGUCCAAGCAUCAGUCAAAAUAUGAAAUUGAGUUAAAAACGGAAAACGGCCAGCGAGGGUCUGAAAAAGACUAGAACAUGGGUUCCAAGUCCAAUAUAAAGGAGAACUACUGCAGUUCUUAUGUUGUGUUUGGUUGGGGUGAAUGAUUCCGGAAGGAAUGGAAUGAAAAAUUAACUAUUUUAUGGACAAUUUUCAAGAAAUUCAUUCAUUCCUCCAUUCCAUUCCUUAUAUCAUUUGCUACAUUUCACACCUUCAAUUUGAGAUGGAAUGCUCCAUUCUCCCCAUCCUCAAUUUCUUCUCAAAUCUCAUCAUGGCAAUUUUGCACUUCCUCAUUUUUUUUUCAAAAUUUUCUUCCUAUCUUUAUUAGUUUCAAGUAUUUUUACUCAUUUCAUUCCAUUCCAUUCCAUUCUCCCCAACCAAACACAACACUAGAGCACAUCAAAGGCAUGCGAGUUUAACACUUAAGAUACAAAUUUAAACUUGAUAACAUGACCACAUUUUCCCAGAUUCACAUAAUACACAAGUUUCGAGCUACU